UCGAGAAUCUUCGGCAAUGAGCGCAAGCUUGACCGAGCAAUGCCGCGUGCGGGAAGAAGGCCUUCGGGUUGUAAACCGCUGUCAGAGGGAACGAAAUGCCAGUGGGUACUCUCAUUGGUUUGACUGAUCCUCAAAGGAAGGGUGGGCUAAGUUCGUGCCAGCAGCCGCGGUAAGACGUACCACCCGAACGUUAUUCGGAUUUACUGGGCUUAAAGAGUCCGUAGGCGGCCAAGUAAGUUGGGUGUGAAAUACCUCGGCUUAACCGAGGAGCUGCAUUCAAAACUACUUGGCUUGAGAGAGACAGAGGUGAGCGGAACUGAUGGUGGAGCGGUGAAAUGCGUUGAUAUCAUCAGGAACACCGGUGGCGAAAGCGGCUCACUGGGUCUUAUCUGACGCUCAGGGACGAAAGCUAGGGGAGCGAACG
rnacentral:rRNA from 1 species